rnacentral:misc_RNA from 1 species
AUCAUCAUGGACCUUGAGCCCAAAACUAAAUGUUGGCAUUAAAAUCAACAUGGACCUUUAGUCCAAAGGUUGGCAACAUAGAGAUUAAAUACUGAAAUUAAAAUCAAUAUGGACCUUGAGCCUAGAGGUUGAUAUCGUGUUAAUUUAAGAUCAACAUGGACUUUGAGUUUAAAGGUUGAUAACAGGAAAACUAAAUACUGAAAAUAAAAUCAAUAUGGACCUUGAG